GACGAACGCUGGCGGCGUGCUUAACACAUGCAAGUCGAGCGGAAAGGCCCUUCGGGGUACUCGAGCGGCGAACGGGUGAGUAACACGUGAGUAAUCUGCCCCUAGUUCUGGAAUAGCUCCGGGUAAACCGGGAUUAGUACCGGAUACGGCCAUUACGGACAUCUGUUUUGGUGGAAAGAUUUUCGGCUAGGGAUGAGCUC
rnacentral:rRNA from 1 species